rfam:Haemonchus placei strain MHpl1 genome assembly, scaffold: HPLM_scaffold0000189
GGCACAAAUUCUAAAUAGAGUAGUUUAUUAGGGUCAGAUGGUCCUUAUAAUCUAUUCUACUUCGAAUUUGGGCCC